GGCACAGAGAUAAAUGAGAAAUAAUAAAUGUGAUAACUGCUGUAAUAGGCAAAUACAGAAAGUAUACUGAAAAUAAGGGCAACAAUUUUGACAAACAAAACAUUAAUAAACAAUUGAAACUACAAAAAAGACUCAUAAUUUUAAUAAAUUUUGCCUUCUUCAUCUCUUCUCAAGAAAACAAAUGCCUAAGGGCAUUCUGUUCUGGGGGGCCUGGAAGAGAGCCUAGCUUUUCAAGCCAGCUUCCCCUUUAUCUCAGGAUGUCACAUUCCUACCAUGUAGUAUAAUUACUCUUUAGAACUACAAGUGAGAAAGUGAGGAGAACUGGGUUUGUCCAAGAUCACUCAGAGAACUGUCCCCAUUGUAUUUAUUAGGAUCUCCCAAAUAAUGUUAAAUAGAAGUGUUGAUAUUGGGAGUCUUUGUUUUAUUCCAGAUUUUCAAUAAACCGGUCUUAAAGAUUUAUCAUUAAGGUGUGGUAUUUAAAGUGAAUUUUUGAUAAAUUUGUUAUUUGGUUAAAGAAGGUCUCAUCUAGUCCUAGAUUGCUAAGGAUUUUUGUUUGACUUGAUUUAAACUCAAAUAGAUAUUAAAUUUUUUCAAGAGCUUUUUUCCUGCAUGGGGUGAGAGGACAACAUAACUUUUUCUUUAUUCUAUUUAAUGUAAUAAAAUACAGAUUUUUC
rnacentral:lncRNA from 1 species